AUACGUAGGGGGCGAGCGUUGUCCGGAAUGAUUGGGCGUAAAGGGCGCGUAGGCGGCCCGGUAAGUCUGGAGUGAAAGUCCUGUUUUUAAGAUGGGAAUUGCUUUGGAUACUGUCGGGCUUGAGGGCAGGAGAGGUAAGUGGAAUUCCCAGUGGAGCGGUGAAAUGCGUAGAGAUUGGGAGGAACACCAGUGGCGAAGGCGAAGUACUGGACUGUAACUGACGCUGAGGCGCGAAAGUGUGGGGAGCAAACAGGAUUAGAUACCCUGGUAGUCCACACUGUAGACGAUGAAUGCGAGGUGUAGGGGGUAUCGACCCCUUCUGUGCCGCAGUCAACACAAUAAGCAUUCCGCCUGGGGAGUACGGCCGCAAGGUUGAAACUCAAAGGAAUUGACGGGG
rnacentral:rRNA from 1 species